UUUUCUGUUUUAUAUUCUAAAAUCAGAUUUAGUCAGUGUUUUUUGAUGUGUAUAAAACCUCUUGGUAAAUUUUGUGCAAACACAAUGUUCUGUGUAAUUUGAACCGUUUACACAGAAUUUUGCAUUUCAUGUUGUGACGAUGUGAAAUUUAAGGUCUUUAUGGAGGUUAUAUGUUUGGUUUUAUUAUAAAUAGAUCUGGGUAAAACAGUGUCUAUAUAGUUAAUAAAUGGGUUGGCUCUGGAUAAGCUCUGGGUCGGCUCUAUGUCAACUCUGGGUCUGGUCUGAAUCGGCUCUGGGUCGACUCUAGAUCGGCUCUGUGUUGACACUAGAUCGGCUCUGGAUUGAUUCUAGAUAGGCUCUGUGUCAACACUGGGUCGACUCUAGAUAGACUCUGGGUCGACACUGGGUCGACUCUAGAUAGGCUCUGUGUCGACUCUAGAUCAGCUCUGUGUCGACUCUGGAUCAGCUCUGGGUCGGCUCUGCGUCGACUCUAGAUCAGCUCUGGGUCGACUCUAGAUCAGCUCUGGGUCGGCUCUGUCCACUCUAGAUCAGCUCUGGGUCGACUCUGUGUUGACUCUAGAUCGACUCUGGGUCAACUGGGUCGGCUGUGUGUCGACUCUAGAUUGGCUCUGGGUCGACUCUAGAUCGGCUCUGGGUCGACUCUAGAUCGGCUCUGGGUCGACUCUAGAUCGGCUCUGUGUCGACUCUAGAUCGGCUCUGUGUCGACUCUAGAUCGGCUCUGUGUCGGCUCUGGGUCGACUCUGGGUCGACUCUGGAUCGACUCUGGGUCGACUCUAGAUCGGCUCUGGGUCGACUCUAGAUCGGCUCUGGGUCGACUCUAGAUUAACUCUGGGUCGACCCUAGAUCGGUUCUGUGUCGACUCUAGAUCGGCUCUGGGUCAGCUCUGUGUUGACUGUGUUAGCUCCGGAUAAGCUCUAGAUCCGCUCUGGAUCGGCUCUGGAUCACUGCCUCCUGACAGCGGUGUUGUUCUGCUCUUCGGCUUGGCUGUYGCUCCAUUACCUCAACCUGCACCUACUAGGGAUGCACUUAUCUCACCUUUUCCUCCUGUUACUGGUAGGUGCAGCAAACGUUCAUAUUUAAGGGAACUUGACUUCUUUCAAACCCGAGAAAAGUUUAUCUGAUUUUACGAACGCUCUUUUCUUCGCUCGCCCUCUUUUUGUUUGGCUUCUGUAAGAAACCGGGUUCUGUCUGGUUUCAGACGUCCUCCUUUAGUUUGAUGUAUUUUGAGCUUCCUGUAAGUCUUGCAUUCCAUCCUCUUUGUGUAUCUUGUUUAAGUGACAUAGCCCUUUCUUUUUUCUUUUUUUUAAUUACGUGCUACUUCAGCUACCUUUAGAGGAAACAAGGUGAUAAAACCCAGGAUUCACUCACACCAUGUUUUAUGGCYCCGAGUUGAUCAGCUACAGGGAAAGUUCAAGAAAUAAUCCUGAGAAAGAUGCCAGAAGUUAAAAACAAACAUAUCUCAUGCAAUCAGUUGCUGUGAUGAAUUUUACGUAACAGAUUUGUAUAUUGGUUGAUCCAAAGAGUUGAUGAACAAAACAGAACUAUUGACUUAUUGUACAGAACAGUGUAUCUUUGACUUGUCAUGUGUUAUGGUGAAAUUAUUAAAAGACAAACCAGCGGUUUCAUA